AUGUACAGUGUCAGGAAACAAGCCUUUCUCCAAAGCUCCAAUGCCAUCACCAAAGAGUGCGGCCAAAUCAUAUUCUGUGAGUACAUACUUUAUCAUAACUUUUCCAUUACUAAUCUUUUUAGUAUUGUUAACAUCUGUUGUUUAGUGCUUGAUUUCUUGUUGUUCAUACAUUUUAUCACAUUACUCAUAACUGAAAUGUGUUAUUUCCUAUUAAAUCUGAUUUCUGUAUCUCUCUUUUUCAUUAAGGAUCCCAAUUACGAUGAUGAUUACACCAACACAGCAGACCUCAACUUAUAUGCAAAUUUCUGAUGAAAAUGCCACAUUUUAGUGUUACAUUUUAAACCUGACCAAUAAUGCCUACACAUGCAUAUAAUACAGUGUUUCUGUAUUUACAUAUUGCUAUGAUGCUUACAUUGCAAAGUUAUGAAAAAAAAAAAAUUAUACUUUUAACAUACUUUUUAAUAUGUAAGAAAAAUUCUAACUUUUAGCUGAAUUUAAGCUCAUCUCGUUCUGGAAUUUGUCCCAUUAUGGCAUAAUAUAGUGCAAGGAAAGUUCACCUCUGCAGAAGAAGACCAACAGCUACUUCUAUAUUAUUGCCUCUUUACAUCCACCCACUGAACUGCACAUGUAGUAAGAGAAGAGGAAAGGCUAGAGAGAUGCAGACACAGGAUUACUCCAACAAAACCAUAGAGAGCUGCCUUUGUGGAGACGCUGUGUAGUGUUAGUUGUGAAAAGAAAAAAACAGUCUUUUAUAAACUUCUGUGUGAUUCUAACCACAUAUUUAGCCAAUCAUACCAGUGGGCAUUUACUUGAAUGUCUUGAAUGCACCCCGCCUAUAAAAACAGACUGCCUUAUAGAGAGGGUCAAAAACAGGAUUGAACAUAGUCAAUUACGUCUAAAUUUUUUGUUUUUUCUUGCUAACAAAAUAAGUGGACCCUAUGGAAGCCCGUUUCCACCACUAAAAAAAAAAAAAAAAAAACAGGUUAUUGUGACUUUUUUUUCUCUCAGUCAGAAUUCUAUCUCGCAAUUUUGACUUUAUAACUCGUAAUUGCGACUUUUUAUCUCGCAAUUCUGACUUUUUUUUAUUUUUUUUAUUUUUUUAAUAACAUCUUUACAUUUAAUUUGUAGCAUGUAGCCUAAAGGUUUAAUAAAGCAAUGCAAUAUAUUCACUGUUACUCCUUGGCGUAUUGAUUUCUCUUACUCUCUCUCAUUCCUGCUCUGUUUUAACAGGUGGCUUUAGAAUAUAAUUUUCACCAACCAGAAUGUCAUAUCAUCUUAAAUUCUUGACGUUUCUGAGUCAAAGAAUUUACCUGCUUUUUAAAAUCACAAUAAAAAUGAGUUUAAAAAAAUAACCCAUGAAUAAACAAUCAAUCUAUAUUCACAACUGUAGAUCAACACCUGAACUGUUACCUCAUUUAGCAAUACCACAGACAGGCAUUAAAACUUUCUAAACACAGCUAAAAAGUAUUUAAAUGUAUUUUAGGGGAUUUUAGUGAUUCAGGAUACUUUUAACACCUCAACAAAUCAAUUAAAUAACUGUCAAAGUUUAGCAAGUAAUUUGUACUGUACAUUCCCUAAACGUACUUAACCAGAGUGAUGACUGAUGUUGUUUUAUUCUUUAUUUGCAUCUAAAGGGUUUGUCUAGUUUUAUCAAGCAGCACAUACUGUACUGUUCAAGUUAUUUAAAAACCCAAAGCUUGAAAAAAAUUACCAUUUUAAUGGGUAUGUGUACGGAGAGGACUAUACAGCAGUCUUAGCUUUAAUUAGCAGAGACUGACUACAAUUUGAUCACGAUGCAAGACUAGGUGUGACAGUCUUAUUUGGAAGAAAAUAAAAAUAUUCAUCUCUCUGUUACUCUCUGAGUCAUAGUAAAGAGCGUUCACACCUCCUCUUAUAGGUUCUUCUUCAUAGAACUGUGUAGUGUUUUCGUCUUUUAGUCUCCACAUUUUGCAGCGCUUGGCAUCUUGGCAUCUUUUCUAUCCAAUCCAUGUGUUUGUGAAUGAGACAUCAUUAAGAAGGUAACAAUAAAAAUAAAAGUAUAUUACAUUUUAUUUAACCAAUGCCUUAAGGUUUCAUUUUCGAUACAUUUUAGCCCAAUUUGUUUUGAUUUGGUGGCUCCACUUAUAGCAUAAAGUAACGGAAAACAACCAUUUAGCCUUGGGGAAAAUUUGUUAUAAUCUGUUGGUCAGUUUUUUUCUUUCCUUUGUUUUUGUACAUGAAAACAACAGUUGUUUUUGUUUUUACUUAAGGGCAAACCCAGGAAUGUGAUGGGACCUCUGCUACUUAAACUGCUUUUACAAGGUAUACAGGAGCAUCAGUUUUCUCUCUCUUUUUCUUCAUACAUGUAGAUGCUGUUUAUAAGGGUAUACAGUACAUACAAUCUAAAAAGUCUAUUUAAGAAAUGUAUCUAAAGUGGUGGCUUUUCUCAGGUCAGGUCUUUAUUUGUGAAAGCUUUUGUUCUGUCUUCCUCAGUGCUGCCUCAUGGUAAUUUUACUGUUUAAGAUUGUGCAUAAAAUCUAAAUUGCAGACAAUGGACAUUAUGCGUCCGAGCAGAAAGAGAAAAUGAGAGAUACAGCUUCAACAACAGCUGUGUGUUCAUUAUAAUGCGGGGUGAGGAAAUAUAACUUGGGUUCACAUACUUUUGAAAGUGUUUUUCAUCCAUCACAUUCAAGAACUAAUAUAAACAAUUUUAUGAUUUUUAUUAUAAAG
ensembl:lncRNA